GGCCGGCUAACGACGUACAUUGCAUCGUGAGAUAAAGGAUUUGCAGUUUGUUUAUGCGUUGCACGGGUGUCGCGCGCGGGCGGGACGUCAGUGCGCGCGCGAUGCGUCCGCAGCAGCACGCGUGCAACGUCCGAGCUGCGCAUUUAAACACUUCUGUCCAUGAGUUAUGGCUAACUGGUCGGUCAUGGAGCGCGAGUGGACCCCCAACCAGUACGAUCCGUACCAGUACGGAUACAACUUCUACUACGAGGAAAAACAACCCGAGCAGUACCAGCCGCCCCCGCCGCAAGCGCAGAACUAUGGCUCUCCUCCGUCGCCAGGCCUGACUCUUGUGCUCGCCUCUCCUGAACUGGCUUCAUCACAAGAACUCCAACUGCAGUAUGUCAAUACGGUCGCUCCUCCUAAAACGGACAACCCACGGGAGAUCCGCAACAAGGCGGAGAAGCAGCGGCGUGACAAGCUGAACCAGUCCAUCGCCGAACUGGCCGCCAUGGUGCCGCCGGUGGUAGCCGCCAGUCGCAAGAUCGACAAGACCGGCAUACUCAGGCUUACUGCACAUUACUUGCGAUCGCAUCAAUAUGUGUUCGGGGACUCCAUCGGUCAAGCACCCCGGGACUUCAGCCCCGCGGCGUCGCAAGCGCUGCUGACGAUGCUGAACGGCUUCCUCAUCACCACCACCUACAAGGGCCUGGUUGUCGUCGUCUCGCAGAACGUGCAGCAAUAUCUCGGAUACACUGAGUUGGAACUUUUGGGCCAGAACAUCUUCACAGUGGUACACGAGGACGACCGCCAGAUAAUGAAGGACGCGCUAAUGCCCAAGAGUCACCUACUGGGAAAUAACGGAGAACUUCUAAUACCGGAUGAACCCAACGGCAAGAAGAUUGUGGCUGAGGCCCUAGCCAGUGAGAAGCGCAGUUUUAUUGUCAGGUUUAAGAAACUAAGCCAGCGUUCGGAGCCAAGUCAAUAUGUGACGUGCUACGUGGAGGGUUCGCUUCGAAAGUCGGACCGGGCGUGCCGCGGGUACAACCGCUGCUGUCAAAUGGUGCGCCGCGCACGCGCACGCGGCGACAACCCCUGCUCCAGCGGCAAUGACAUCGUGUUUGUAGGCGUAGUGCGUCCAACAACGGAAACUUUCCACACAGAAAGUGCCAUGGAGACCUUCCGUAUGGAGUACCGCACCAGACACUGCAUCGACGGCCAGAUCAUCCAAACGGAACACCGUAUCGGCCUGGUCACCGGCUACAUGACAGAUGAAGUCAAUGGGGUCAAUGCUCUCAACUUCAUGCACAAGGAUGACGUCCGAUGGGUCAUCAUUGCCCUCAGAGAAAUGUACGACCAACACAGGCUAUUUGGAGAAUCGUGCUAUCGCCUGAUGACUAAGAACGGGCAGUUCAUUUACAUGAGGACCAGGGGUCGUCUAGAUGUAGACCAAGACUCCAGGGCCGUUACAAGCUUUGUUUGCACUAAUACUGUAGUGGAGGAACAGGAAGGCAAGCAUUUGAUCAAGCUGAUGAAGAAAAAGUUUACCCUGCUAGUUAAUAACAACGAAGAUCCUCCCCAGGAAGAUGAAGCAAUAGAGAAUACUAAUAAUCACACGUUACCAGUAGAAGACCCACGUCAGCUGGAGAAAGUGAUUUUACAUCUUGUCACUAACUUACCAUCGCCGCAAUCUGAAGACGACCCUCCCAGCGUGUCCCCUGAUCGCCGGAAUUCCCCCUCUCCGCGACUCUCCAUCAUACCGCCUCCGAAGAAACGCAUAGUCAGUGCCAUUGAGAAAAUAUACAGUGUUUUAAACACAUUUUCCAAACCUCGGGAGGUCAAAUCUCACUCAACCUCAAUUGAAGAACUUAAUAGCCUCAGCAGCUCUCCAGUUACUGAAACGUCUUCUAAUACAACAUUUAAUAUGUCUGACUCUCCUCUACCAUUAGCUUUUACUCCGACAAUGUACACUGGAACUACUUCGUCAAAUCAUUUUGCUAAAUUGCCCACAUUCAAUAAAAUAUGUAAGCGGGAGCAACCGAACAAUGAUUCUGGAAACCAGCCAUAUUUUCACAGUGUGGGCAACAAUACCGCUUACCAAUUAUCUGGAAACUCUGCCGUGAGUGCUAUAACGGCACCAAUGUCAUUUUACAAAAAUCCCGAAUCGAACGUAGUCCAAAAUGAUUCAAAGUACCAAUUUCUUAAUUCACAACAGAAAGAUGAAAAAAAUCAGCUGAUAGAUUCUCAACAGACCAGCAUUGUGACUACUGGUUUAAAACGACAGAGAGACUGUAAAGAUGGCGAUGUAGCCUUUAAAAAGAAAAAUGUCGAAACAUCGCAGUUAGAAAAUGACACUUAUCGAGCUUUAGGUCAAGAGGCUCCAUCCUUCGACACUUUCUUUGACGAAGAAUUGCUUAACACAUCGUUCUCACAGAUCGAUAGUGCGAUAGAUUCCCUGGAGCAGACUAUUAUAGAUCCUUCUUUCCCAGAUUUAUUGAAACAGCAUUAGAGAGAGACGUGUAGGAAAAUAUGGAGAUUUUCCAGCAGUGAGACACACAACUAUAAUCUAAAAGAUCUCGAAGGAGGUGCAAGACAUACUUGGUGCCAUCGACGACGGCCCCAAUGACGACCACGUCACCUAAACAACCAUGACCCCCCUUUGGUCCUGUCUUUUGUGCUCCAUUACAUAUAUAAAACGACAAAGCGUUUCCUACUAGCUAACAGCUCUUUGAUGGAAAUCGCAAUGUUGUCAUCCAGAGAUCUCUAUUUAUUUUAAAUUAUAUAAUCAAAAAUAGUUAAUAAGCAUAUUGUAAGUCACGUCAACCAGCCUUUUCUGAUUAUCUAAAUUGCGGGUUUAUUGUAGUCACUAGCAUAUUAUUUAGUAAAGUAUGUGUGUCAGUGAUUCCUGAUUUUAUAAAUACAUUUUUGGUAUACAUAUAUAACUUAUUGAUUUAGACCCGUUUUCGUUGUUUGUUAUUUAAAUCAUUUCCCAUUCUUGACUCACCACAUUGCAUUGUUAUAUAAUUUAAGCUUGUUUAAAAUAAUUUUAGUGGAGGUAGUUAGGCGCUAUGUUAAUCAAUAUUAUUAGCUUGAAUGAGUUAUGUAGAUGUACCUAUCAUUAAAUGUUAUCAAUUUACAUAACCAUAAAAAUGUUAUAUGAGCUGCCAUACGCGUUUUGUAUUUGGUAAGAAUGUCAUAAAAUCAUGCACUUAAAAGCUUUUUGUCCAUAAUAUUAGAAGCCCAUAUUAUCGAUGUUUCAUCAUGAGUAGAAGAUUAUGAAGUAAGUGCGUGAAAUGUCGAUAUUUUUAUGAUGACAGCCUAGUCAGAAUUAUUACAUUUUGUAUAUAUAUAUAAUCCCCUUCAGAUCAAAUAUGUAUGAAUUAAAACUUGUUUAUUUUAGUAAUUUUUUCAUUAUUUUCAUUUAUAAUAUUUCAAUGUGAAUGUUUAAUAUAUUAGUUAUUUUAUAUUCAGAUGUAUGUAAGACUGAAUAUUGUUAUAAUGAUUGAUCAUAGGUUAGAUUAUUCUUAAGUAUCUAGUUAAUUCAGCAUUUGUAGGUUUGAUAUUUGAGGUUUUCUGUUAAUCUAAUUGUAACAACUCGUAACUACUUAGGUUAUAAUCAAAUCCAAAAUGAUAUCAUUAUAUUGAUGUUACUCUAUAAUAUUAUUAAAAAUAUAUAUGUGUCAGAGAGUUGUCUAUUCCCUAUAAUAAUGCCAUUUAAAAACGAAGUGUCUGUAAUGUUAUAUAGAUAGAUACAUUUCCACGACCUAAUCCAUAUUUAUUAUAGAUGUUAGAGGUUGUCUAUCUGUCUGUCUAUCACGCUUUUAUGCCUCAACAUUUGGCCGAUUGUGAUGAAACUUGGAACAGAUAUAGUUAAUGUUCCGUGGAUAAAUACAAGCUACCAUGGACACAGCUGUGGGUAACAUUUACGUAGGUCCUUUUGUAUAAUUUAAUUUUGAUUUAUAAUGAAUUUAAUUCAAAAUGCACUUAUAUAUACGAGAUGUAAAGUUCAUUAUAAUGGAGAUGCCUACCGAGUAUCUCAUUUAUUUUUAUUUCUCAUACGAGUUACCCGAAUCUAGAGACAAGUAACAAAUGCUCAAAAUCACAAAUUAGUUGUAGGGUGUCUGUCAAUGUUAUAUUUGUAACACUCUGCCUAUAUUUUUCUAUCCGUAAAAUCUAUUACAAUGAGUACCUGGAUAAUAACAUAAGUAGUUAUUAACAGAUAAUUUAAAAACAUGAUUCCUUUUGAAUUUCAGAAUACAAACCCAUGAAUUUCAGAAUACAAUUACAAUUUUUAUUCUAAGUACCUUAGUAUACUUAUUAGAUGUUUACGAAGUAGGACUUAUAGCAUGCCUAAUAUUAGAAUCUUCUUCAGUGUUUAAUAUGAAAGUCGCUCGUAGGCUAAAUAAAAAUCUUAGAAACAUAUUAUUCUAUGUGCAUGUGCAGUUAUAUAAUUAUUUAGUGUAGGUAUGUAUAUAGAUAUCUUUGUCAUUACCCACAUUUAGAAGGCGUUUAAGAACGUUUAACUGGCUGCGUACUAAAAUGUGUAAAAUGUACAUUCUCUUGGAGCAUGCAUUCAUUUUGGAGCCCGGCUCCAUUGCACUCCGUCGUCCUCCAUUGCAUUGACGUCACAGGUUGACGUCCAACGACACAACGCAGAAAGUGAAUGGAGCUUUGACGUUAGUCUACGCAUGGUAGUCAAACAAUUAGGACGUGGCAAACAUCCCUAUUUCUAUGCCAGUUUAUAGAUUUAUUAAUAACUAGCUUUUGCCCGCGGCUUCGCCCGCGUGAAUUUCAUAACAAAAUCGACGUUUUACGUCCCGGUUUAUUAUUAACCACAAACGUAAAUAUUUUUUUUUGUAUUUACUAUUACUAUUAUUUACUACAAAAAAUAAGUGUGCCAAUUUUCAGCUUUUUAUCUUGAAAAUUGUAUUAAUGCCCCUUUUGAAGAGGUUGAGGGUUUAAUUUUCAGAAAAAUCUGAAACACGUGUUCAUUACUUUAUUGUAAACAAGCAAAAUCGAAAUUUUCAAAUCACUAACUUCAAUAGUGUGGACCUUUCAUAUUUACAGUUUGUCACCCCUUUCACCCAUCUCGGAGAAUUUCCAAAAAUCCUCUCUUAGUGCUCACCUACAAUAUAUAUACAUUAUGUUUGAGCGAAACCAUAGCGCGUUUUAAAAGUCUUGGUGGCGCCAUCUAUUAUCUUUAUGUUCAAAACUACAAUAUAACAAAAUUAAAUUGAAAAUUGAUACCUUCUAAUUAUAUCUAUAUUAGACUAUCAGAAGUUUGUUUACAUUCUGUUUACACCUUACUACAAAAUUUUAAAGUAAAUCGUCUCCGUGGAUUGUUAUUUUAAUUUUCCUACAGGCCUCCUUAUUUUCCAUCGUCUAUAAGAUGUUAACCCGGGAUUCCGAGGAAAUUUUAAUUCAUAAUUAGUUCUUCAAUUAUCCUACGGGAACCUGACUAUUUACCGGGAUGAAAUGUAUCUAACUAAGAUGUUAACCCGGUAUAUUACGUACCUACAUACCAAAUUUACAGACAGACAGACUGACAAAAAUCUCUAAAACUAUAUUUUCGCCAUCUAUAUCAACUAAGUAUAUUCCAUAAAGAAUUUAAAAAAUAUAUCCAAUUUACAAAUUUGGCCUUUCUUCAAUUUUAAUAUACGUAUUGAUGAUGAUACCGAGAUACGCUUCUCUUUUGAUCCCCGUUCAAAUUACUUAUUAAAUACGAUAGAACGUUUGAAAUAUAUUUUACUUUAAUAUUUACUCUGCUAAUGUGCAACAAAAACUACGCAAUAUGAUUUGAUCCGAACAAAAACCAAUAUUUUUAUAUACGUAGCAUAACGUCACUAAAAAAAUUCUCAAUAAUUUCAGUACCUUCUUGAAUCUUUAUGUCUAUUGCUAUUUAUUUAUUGUUUUUAGAAGACAUUUUCCAACCUAAAUCUCCUUUUUAUGUAUAUUUUUAUUCCUGAAUGAAAUUCGUAGUACUUACUUAGGUACUAAUUAAAAUAAUAGAUAUGUAAUUACGCCAAAUCGAUUUUUACAUUCUUUUAUUUUCCAUUAAAUGUUAAGCCUUUAUAUUCAAUUAAAUUUUAAUUUUUAUAAACACAGAAAAACAAAAAAUAGGUACUGUGAUCAAUGAUCAUGUAUUGGCUUGAGGGGUCGUUCAUUAAUCACGUGUGGCUUGAAAGAAGGGGAGGGGGUGUAGUAAAAUAUCACGUGUAUUUAUUAUAUCGUCAAAUGCGCGAUUUCUAAACCGAAAAGCUUUGAAGUAUGUGUGAUACUAUCAUUAUGUAAUUUAUUACCGUAUUUAAACAUAAUCUUUUUAAAAAUAACAUUAUUUGUAGGUAUUAAAAAUACAUGUGAUUUUGAAUGGGGGGGGUGUUUUAAGGGGGGUUAAAAAUGUUAAAAAACAUCACGUGAUAAACUGAGGCCCCUUAGCAAUUAUUAUCAAAAAUAUUUUACUUUAGACAACUUUUUAUUGUGUAUAUGCAACGGCCAACCCCGAACCCUGUGGCUUGUUAGCUGUAGCCGGAUUUAGCCAGCUAGACCUAGGUGCAGUAGGUCUCCACUGAUCAGACCUAGGUGUAGCCGGCUUAUGUUCGGCUAGACUUUUACCAAGACCUAGAUGUAGCCGAAUUUCGGGGUGUAUCCGUAAAUGUUUAUAUCACCAAAAACAUUACGAGCAAGCGAAAUAAAUUUGCAAUAUUUUUGACAUAAUAUGGUUCCCCAUAUUAUAUCUUUGAAAAUAGACCUUGCGUCUUUCUGCAAUCUUAACGCGUUUUGUAAAGCAUUAUGUGGGUUGAUGUAGAAAUAAAUGUUAUUCGUCAGUAA